UCCAGCAAUAAGCGCGGCCCUUCUUGGCAGGUCGGCCCGCAAAGCGUACUGGGACGUGUAGUUUUCCCCUGUAGCCGUUAAGGCCCUUAACGUGGGAAAACAAGCGUCGAGGUGCAGUAGCGAGAUUUGGCCACAGGAGGGCGCGCCAACACACCAAGCGCCAAGCCGGUUCCACUAAGGCCCCAAAAAGGAGGAAUGAGUAGUUCGGCCAAAUUUAACGAGCGUGAAUGGAGAGAAAUUAAUCGACCGAAGCUCUCAACCUGGCCGAAUAUCAGCAAUUCUGGGGCGCCAACCCUCAACCUCCCCCAACUUGCCUUUGCUGCUAUUUCAGGGACUCCGGGAGCGGCUGCCGGAAGCGGCCCUUCUCCUACGCUGGGCGCGAAACUGCAGAAAAGGGGGGGGGGGAAGAGAUCUGAACCAAAAUCUAAACAUACUAAAUCCCUUUUUUCUUCCCGUUAAUGUAACCAUAAAGCAAAUUAUUACUUUAUCCCUCCCUUUUCUGCAAGGAGCUGAAGGUGCAGGCCACGCUCUCUAUUACACCAUUUUAUCCACUCAAAACAGUGCCAGGCCAGUCGAGGGGCCCAGUGGCCCAAAGACACACAGUUCAGUUUCAUGGGGAUCUAAAUCCACCACUUUCCAGACCAAACGCAACCCAUUCAAAAGCACUCUGAGGCAAAGGACACACACCACCACAACAGCAAGCUCUAUUGGGCAAAAUCUACCACUUUCCAUGCCCUAAAAGGCUUCAGGGCCAAGAAACCUCAAACUCUCCCAAGCUCAAGUCUUUGGGCUUUGCCUUCUGGGACCCUUCUGCCCUCCCCUCCCCCCUCGCUUCCAGACAGUCAUUUUUCAGUCCACUAGCCACACUCUUCAGUGGACCACGAAAACCGCAUCCCUCCUUUUACAGCCACACGCUGAGACAGGAAGCCCCGCAGAAUGAACACCCCAGCACCCUGAUCGAAAAAGAAAUGAAGAUAGCUUUAUUGAGCUGAGUGGCACAUGGCAGGUUGAUGUCCCCU
rnacentral:lncRNA from 1 species